rnacentral:rRNA from 1 species
GAACGAUUAAACCGCCCUCGGGCGGACAUAGAGUGGCGAACGGGUGAGUAACACGUGACCAACCUGCCCCGCGCUCCGGGACAACCGCUGGAAACGGCGGCUAAUACCGGAUACUCCGGGAGGGCCCCAUGGCCCUGCCGGGAAAGCCGAGACGGCGCGGGAUGGGGUCGCGGCCCAUUAGGUAGACGGCGGGGUAACGGCCCACCGUGCCCGCGAUGGGUAGCCGGACUGAGAGGUCGACCGGCCACAUUGGGACUGAGAUACGGCCCAGACUCCUACGGGAGGCAGCAGUGGGGAAUUUUGCGCAAUGGGGGAAACCCUGACGCAGCAACGCCGCGUGCGGGACGAAGGCCCUCGGGUUGUAAACCGCUUUCAGCAGGGAAGAUCCAAGACGGUACCUGCAGAAGAAGCUCCGGCUAACUACGUGCCAGCAGCCGCGGUAAUACGUAGGGGGCGAGCGUUAUCCGGAUUCAUUGGGUGUAAAGCGCGCGUAGGCGGCCGCCUAAGCGGGACCUCUAACCCCGGGGCUCAACCCCGGGCCGGGUCCCGGACUGGGCGGCUCGAGUGCGGUAGAGGAGAGCGGAAUUCCCGGUGUAGCGGUGGAAUGCGCAGAUAUCGGGAAGAACCACCGAUGGGGAAGGCAGCUCUUUGGGCCGUCACUGACGCUGAGGCGCGAAAGCUGGGGGAGCGAACAGGAUUAGAUACCCUGGUAGUCCCAGCCGUAAACGAUGGGCGCUAGGUGUGGGGGGACGAUCCCUCCGUGCCGCAGCCAACGCAUUAAGCGCCCCGCCUGGGGAGUACGGCCGCAAGGCUAAAACUCAAAGGAAUUGACGGGGGCCCGCACAAGCAGCGGAGCAUGUGGCUUAAUUGGAAGCAACGCGAAGAACCUUACCAGGGCUUGACAUGCCGAUGAAGCCGGGGAGACCCGGUGGCCGAGAGGAGUCGGCGCAGGUGGUGCAUGGCUGUCGUCAGCUCGUGUCGUGAGAUGUUGGGUUAAGUCCCGCAACGAGCGCAACCCCCGCCCCGUGUUGCCAGCACUCAGUUGGGGACUCGCGGGGGACUGCCGGCGUCAAGCCGGAGGAAGGUGGGGACGACGUCAAGUCAUCAUGCCCCUUAUGCCCUGGGCUGCACACGUGCUACAAUGGCCGAUACAGAGGGUUGCCACCCCGCGAGGGGGAGCGGAUCCCGGAAAGCCGGUCCCAGUUCGGAUCGCAGGCUGCAACCCGCCUGCGUGAAGCCGGAGUUGCUAGUAAUC